AGAGAUGUGUGAUGACGCAUAUCAAUAAGCGGAGGAAAAGAAACUAACAAGGAUUCCCUUAGUAACGGCGAGUGAAGCGGGAAGAGCUCAAAUUUGAAAUCUUCAAGGUUCUACCUUGACGAAUUGUAGUUUAUAGAAGUGUUUUCUGGUAGUAGAGUGGCAAAAGUUCUUUGGAAUAGGACAUCAUAGAGGGUGAGAAUCCCGUAUUUGGUCAUUCUUUCUAGCUUUGUGAUACACUUUCAACGAGUCGGAUUGUUUGGGAAUGCAGUCCAAAAUGGGUGGUAAAUUUCAUCUAAAGCUAAAUAUUGGCGAGAGACCGAUAGCGAACAAGUACCGUGAGGGAAAGAUGAAAAGAACUUUGAAAAGAGAGUUAAACAGUACGUGAAAUUGUCAAAAGGGAAGCGUUUGACACCAGUGUUGUUUUUCCGAAAAUCAAUUACGAAUGUUUUGUUUUUAAGAAGUUAUGACUUCAUCGGCUUGCUUCUUUCUUUACGAAACUUUCUUAAUGCACUUUUCGGUUAACAAGUCAACAUCAAUUUCUUUUGUUGUAAAAGGGUACUGAGGAAGGUGGCUUUCUUUUCGGAGAAAGUGUUUAUAGCCUUGUACCUCUGCAAUCGGAGAGAUUGAGGUCUGCAGCGUAGAUCCUUCGGGGUUAGAUACAUUUGUGCUAAGUUAUAGCUUUUCAUAGGACAACUUGUUGACUAUGUUAAGUCUUGUAGCUUACUCGCUUAUGCUAUUUUACCUACGCUUAGGAUGUUGACAGCAGUAUAGACUGU
rnacentral:rRNA from 1 species